ensembl:lncRNA
UUUUUUUCUAUUAUUACCAGCAGGUUGUUGUCUUUUAAGGAAGUUAUUUUUGUCUUGUGCGAUGCCAGACAAUCUGUACACGUUCGCCAUUGAUUCACUAUUAUAAUUAAUAGUUCUGACUUUGAAAAUCUCUCUUAUGAAAAUGUUUAUUGUAACAACAGACCUCUAAAGCACCUUUUCAUCGCAGCUAAAAAAUGACCUAAGUGUCAGGCGGUACCUGCCAAAUAGUUCUGAGUUCAAGCAAAGGACACAGAUUAGCUGUCCAAUCAUUGAAGUGCAGCACUAUGCACGACCCCUGACCUCUGACCUUACUAUCUCAAGUGCCCUUUCAUGCAAUCUUUUUUUUGGACGCGUGGGGCAGUAGUGAAACUCGAACGUAACGCGGUAAAGCGGUAAAACAACAAAAAAAACCCCAAACCCAAAUCAAACGUUAUAUACAUUUUCAGUACAAGAAAAUUAUACAGAAAUGCAGCAGAAUUUUGCAGUUUACUGAAAGAGGAAGGAAUUUUCAGUCAGUAAGCUUUUUAGUCAAAGUAGUAGGUCUAUAUAGGCCUUAUGAAACUUCCAAUGUGUAUGUGUUUUCAGUAUCUUGACAUGUUGUAAACAAGAUUGGUGACAUUUUCUGUUAAGAGACUUUAAUAUAACAUUUAUUGACCGAGCAUCUACAGGUGUCUACACUUUGUAAGAGAGAGAGAGAGAGAGAGAUUUCCCCCUCUUAUCUUAUUCAUUUUAGGAAUAAUACCGGAACGGCUGGAGAGCAAACGACUGAUUAGAACGGCUAGGCUAUAUAACAGGUACUAAUGUCCUUUGGACGUUCCACAAUAUUAAAUGCAACAACAAAUUGUUAAAAAGCGUGAAUAAAUAAUAAUAAUAAAAAAUACCACAGCACACAUUCAAAGGUCUUGUGGGUCAGAGCUGUUUUAGUAGCACCAAGGGUGUUAUAUAUAUAUACACAUACACACACAGUGGUGUUUGAAAGUUUGUGAACCCUUAAGAAUUUUCUUUAUAUCUGCAUAAAUAUGACCUAAAACAUCAGAUUUUCACACAAGUCCUACAACUAGACAAAGAGAACGCGAUUAAACAAAUGAGACAAAAAUAUUAUACUUGGCCAAUAUUACAUGUCUGUGAGUGGGAAAAAUAUGUGCACCUUUGCAUUCAGUAACUGGUAUGAGCCCCUUGUGCAGCAAUAACUGCAGAUAAACGUUUGGGGAAAGUGUUGAUCAGUCCUGCAC